GACGAACGCUGGCGGCGUGCUUAACACAUGCAAGUCGAACGGAAAGGCCCUGCUUUUGUGGGGGGCUCGAGUGGCGAACGGGUGAGUAACACGUGAGUAACCGGCCCUUGACUGUGGGAUAACUUCAGGAAACUGGGGCUAAUACCGGAUAGGAGCUCCUGCUGCAGGGGGGGGGUUGGAAAGUGUCGGCGGUGGGGGAGGGACUCGCGGCUUAUCAGCUUGUGGGUGGGGGAGUGGCUGACCAGGGCUUUGGCGGGUAGCCGGCGGGGGCGGGUGACCGGCCACCUUGGGACUGCUGUGCCGCCCCGCCUCCUCCGGGAGGAAGCAGUGGGGAAGAUUGCUCCACGGGGGGAGGCCGGCUGAAGCAGCGCCGCGGGCGGGAUGUAGGCGUCCGGGUUGUAAUCAGCUUCUGCCUGUGACGAAGAGUGAGUGACGGUAAUUGGUAAAGAAGCACCGGCUAACUACGUG
rnacentral:rRNA from 1 species